UAGGGAAUCUUCGGCAAUGGACGAAAGUCUGACCGAGCAACGCCGCGUGAGUGAAGAAGGUUUUCGGAUCGUAAAACUCUGUUGGUAGAGAAGAACGUUGGUGAGAGUGGAAAGCUCAUCAAGUGACGGUAACUACCCAGAAAGGGACGGCUAACUACGUGCCAN
rnacentral:rRNA from 1 species